CUGGCCUUCUCUUCUGCUCUCUAAGUCGUAAGAACGGAGAGAAAGAAGUACUCACUAAGCACUUUCACUCAUGAUUUAGGGCGAUUUAGAGUUGGAUUUUGAAUAUGCUGAAGUGGAAGAAAAGAUAGACGAAGGCAUUAUUUCAUCACUUUUUGGAGUCAUUUAGAGCUUCAGGAGUACGAUUUGCCUAGCGAAGUGAACUACGAAGUUGAAGAUCAAGGUAAAAUAAUUCAUCUUAGUAGCAAACAAGGAGGAGAUGACGUGAUUGAAGAAAUUGUGUAUCCAUCUUCGCUGUCCCUUGUGAGGUGAUGACCACAUACAUGCAAGUGCUAUUUUCAUACUUUUGAUAGCAGAAAGAAAAAUCCGUGUGUAAUAUUGAUGUUCAUGUGAUAAUAGGUCGACUCCGUUCAUAUAUUACUGGUGACGGAUAUUUAUUCGAACUAUUUGGACGCUUAAUUGCAUUCGCAAGCACAUCCAUAUUGGAGCUAAGGUAUAAAAUGACGCCGUAAUGUUGUUAAUAUUUUUUAUAUUGAUGUACUGUUGUGAAUAAUAUGCAUGCCGCUGCAAAUAUUAUUAUUUGUAAAUAAAUGAUUGCUAUCGUAUGAUAUGAAAAAAUUAUAUAAAGCCGGAAGAAAUUAAAUGUUUUACUCAUAUGAUAUUAAAAUGUUAUUAUCAUACUAUUAUGUUUAGUGGUUGUUUGUCAUAACGAGUAAUUACCAUCGGUUUUGUCAUAACUUGUUGUAAGAAAAUUAGUUUUUACUAAUAAUCGUUUUUCCAAAAGCUCAGUUUUUGCA